rfam:Brachypodium distachyon strain Bd21 chromosome 1, whole genome shotgun sequence.
UUUAUGCUCCCUCCGUCUGGAUAUAAGUGACUUGGAUUUGUCUAAAUUCAUAUGUAUCUAGGCGUGUUUUAGUGUAUAGAAACAUGUGGAUUUAGAUAAAUUCAGGUCACUUAUUUCCGGACGGAGGGAGUACCAA